GGCGCUGAGCCGAGGCGCUAGCAGGGUUCGCUCGGGCCGGAGGCCGCUCUGCCGGGAGGGGGCGGGCGCGGGCGCCGUCCGCUCGGGGGACUGCGGACCCCGGCUCCCGCCUGCGCCGCGCCGGGCUCGGCUGUUCCAUGCGACUCCGGUGGGGAUGGAGGACUCGGUGGCGGCGGCGGGUGCUGCGGCGGCGGCGACGGAGGAGCGGCUCUGAGGAGGGCACGGCGGGAUUGGAGUUCUCCAGAAUACACGUCAUAUAGCUCCUGAGGUGGAACGGUGAUGUCUCCGUGAGGGAACCUCCACUCAAUUAUCGUGUCAUGUGUUCAUACUGUCCUUGACUGGGCCAUUCAUCUAGGAUGGGAUUUACCCUGUGAAACGGGGAAGACUUAUGGACCCCAAGCAUCAUUUCAAGUUAUAGUUGAGUUUUCUUUUUUUUUUUUUUUUUAAGUACGGACAUACAUGCAAAGCUCUUUUGCUUUGGACCCUCUGCUUUAUUAAAGCUGCUGUAUUGCACAUCCAGAACCUUUCCAGCCUUUUGACCCCUCACCAUGGCUUCAGUUUGGAAGAGACUGCAGCGUGUGGGAAAACAUGCAUCCAAGUUCCAGUUUGUGGCCUCUUACCAGGAGCUGAUGGUUGAAUGUACAAAGAAAUGGCAACCAGAUAAACUGGUGGUAGUUUGGACAAGAAGAAGCCGAAGGAAGUCUUCUAAGG